rnacentral:rRNA from 1 species
UACGUAGGGGGCGAGCGUUGUCCGGAAUCAUUGGGCGUAAAGAGCGUGUAGGCGGCUUGGCAAGUCUGACGUGAAAGCCCGCGGCUCAACCGCGGAUUGUCGUUGGAAACUGCCUCGCUAGAGUCCGGAAGAGGAGAGCGGAAUUUCUGGUGUAGCGGUGGAAUGCGCAGAUAUCAGGAAGAACACCCGUGGCGAAAGCGGUUCUCUGGGACGGUACUGACGCUGAGACGCGAAAGCGUGGGGAGCGAACAGG